rnacentral:rRNA from 1 species
GACGAACGCUGGCGGCGUGCUUAACACAUGCAAGUCGAACGGGAUUUAGUAAACAGACGCCUCGGUGGAAGAUUACUAAUGAGAGUGGCGAACGGGUGAGUAACGCGUGAGCAACCUGCCUAUGACAGUGGGAUAGCCUCGGGAAACCGGGAUUAAUACCGCAUAAAAUCGUAGAAACACAUGUUUUAACGGUCAAAGAUUUAUCGGUCAUAGAUGGGCUCGCGUCUGAUUAGCUAGUUGGUGAGAUAACAGCCCACCAAGGCGACGAUCAGUAGCCGGUCUGAGAGGAUGAACGGCCACAUUGGAACUGAGACACGGUCCAAACUCCUACGGGAGGCAGCAGUGGGGAAUAUUGCACAAUGGGGGAAACCCUGAUGCAGCGACGCCGCGUGAACGAAGAAGGUAUUCGUAUCGUAAAGUUCUGUCCUAUGGGAAGAUAAUGACAGUACCAUAGAAGAAAGCUCCGGCUAAAUACGUG